CGGGAUGUGGCUCAGUUUGGCUAGAGCGCGUCGUUCGGGACGACGAGGCCGCAGGUUCGAAUCCUGUCAUCCCGA
rnacentral:tRNA from 1 species